rnacentral:rRNA from 2 species
UGGGGAAUAUUGCACAAUGGGGGAAACCCUGAUGCAGCGACGCCGCGUGAGUGAUGAAGUAUUUCGGUAUGUAAAGCUCUAUCAGCAGGGACGAAAAAAGACGGUACCUGACUAAGAAGCCCCGGCUAACUACGUGCCAGCAGCCGCGGUAAUACGUAGGGGGCAAGCGUUAUCCGGAUUUACUGGGUGUAAAGGGAGCGUAGGUGGUAUGAUAAGUCAGAUGUGAAAGCCCAGGGCUUAACCCUGGGACUGCAUUUGAAACUGUCAAACUAGAGUGCAGGAGAGGUAAGUGGAAUUCCUAGUGUAGCGGUGAAAUGCGUAGAUAUUAGGAGGAACACCAGUGGCGAAGGCGACUUACUGGACUGUAACUGACACUGAGGCUCGAAAGCGUGGGGAGCAAACAGG